ensembl:lncRNA
UUUUUUGUUUUUUUUUUUUUAAUUUUUAUUAUACUUUAAGUUCUAGGCUACAUGUGCACAAUGUGCAGGUUUGUUACAUAUGUAUACAUGUGCCAUGUUGGUGUGCUGCAUCCAUUAACUCAUCAUUUACAUUAGAUAUAUCUCCUAAUGCUAUCCCUCCCUGCUCCCCCCACCCCACAACAGGCCCCGGUGUGUGAUGUUCCCCUUCCUGUGUCCAAGUGUUCCCAUUGUUCAAUUCCCACCUAUGAGUAAGAACAUGUGGUGUUUGGUUUUCAGUUCUUGCGAUAGUUUGCUGAGAACAAUGGUUUCCAGCUUUAUCCAUGUCCCUACAAAGGACACGAACUCAUCCUUUUUUAUGGCUGCCUAGUAUUCCAUGGUGUAUAUGUGCCACAUUUUCUUAAUCCAGUCUGUCACUGAUGGACAUUUGGGUUGGUUCCAAGUCUUUGUUAUUGUGAAUGGUGCUGCAAUAAACAUACAUGUGCCACUAUGAAGACACUUUUGCUGUGGUUUGAAUGUGUCUCCCAAUGUUCACGUGUUGGAAAUUUAAUCCUUGAUGCCACAAUGUUGAGAGGUGGGGCCUUUGGUAGGUGAUUAGGUCGUGAGUGCUCUGCAUGAAUGGAUUAAUGGAAUGGGUGAGUUAUUGCAGGAGUGGACUCUUGUAAAAGGAUGAGUUCAACCUGUUUUCCUCCCAACAUCCCACCACCUUCCACCAUGGGAUGAUGCAGCCAAGAGACCACUGCCAGAUGCAGGCCCUCAACCUUGGACUUCCCAACCUCCAGAACUGUAAGAACUAAACCUCCCAGGUACUCUGUUAUAGCAGCACAGCACUGACUAAGACAACCUGUAGGAGAAUGUCAAAACCUAAUUUGGUUUAUUUGGUAUGUUGAAUUGCAUGAAAAGUCAUUGUUAAAUAAGAAGGGGUGUGUAACCUUCUUUAGGUUGCAUUUAUAUAGGUAAAUCAUCUUAAUGUAACUCUUUCAGAAGUUGUGCAGAGAUAUGGACAACUGUCAGUGCCUGCAAUGGCCAUGUUUUAUCCAGUUCAACAUUAUCAGUCACAAUUUCAAUUGUUAUUAUUAAAAAAAGUAUUUUGUCAAAUGAAUUCUCAUCAGAUAUCUAACCAUACCCAUUUAAAAUCUUUUGUUAUUCACAGAUGGUUUUGUGUUACUCAGAUUCUUCCCUGAAAGCAUUUGCAAUCAGGUGUAGGCCAGAAUGAUUUGUGAUGGCAUCGCCUGAAAAACUUUGAGACCUGUAUUAGUCAGGAUUCUCUAGAGAGACAGAACCAAGAGGAGAGAGAGAUAAGAGGGGAUUUUUUUUAAGGGAAAUUGCUCACAUAAUUAUGGAAGCUGAGAAGUCCCACAACAGGCUGUCUGCAAGCUGGAGACUGAGGGAAGCCAGUGGUAUGGCUCAGCUCAAGUCUGAAAGUCCUAGAACCAGAGAAGCUGAUGGUGUAACUCUCAGUCUGAGUCCAAAGGCCAGAGAACCUAAAGCUUUGAUGUCCCAGGGCAGGAGAAGAAAGAUGUCCCAGCUCCAGAAGAGACAGAGAGAAUCUGCCUUCCCUCUGCCUUUUUGCUCUUUCUGGGCCCUCAAUGGCUUGGAUGAUGACAUCCACAUUGGUGAGAGGAGGUCUCCCUUAUUCAGUCCACUGAUUCAAAUGCCAGUCCCUUCCAGAAAAACCUCACCGACAUACCCAGAAAUAACACUUUACCAGCUAUCUGGGUAUCCCUUAAUCCAGUCAAGUUGACACCUAAAAUUGACCAUUACAAGACCAUGCUGGGCUGAAUCAGAAUUUUUAGAGCUCUUCUGGAGAAGCUGAUAGUUCAUGAAACUGCUAUCUCAAGGUCACACAGAGCAAGUUUUAACCACAUGGGACUGAAUGAACGGAUAAAAGAUGAUUAUGGUUAUUGUCUGGAACACUGAUGAUCCUUUACUGUUCUCUUUUCUGGACAUAAGAAACCCCUUUCUCUUUUCUCUUAAGCUAUUGUACUUUUGUAAACAGAAAUGAAACAUUUAUUGUUUCUCCCCUCCUGAUUGCUCCCGGAUUGGAAAACUCUAAUCGAGUAUUUUUGUUUUCAUGGCAACACAGUUAUUUGCAUGCGUUCAAUAAGACUAUGUUUUACUUGUAACAGGAUACAUUGGAUAUAUUACCAAGGCUUUUACUGGAAUGUCACAUGUGAAAAUCUGCAUAGAAUCUGAGGUGACCAGAUAGCUUUAGGGAAGUAAGGCUAACUCCAAAGAGCCAAUGCUUACAGAGUCCACUUGGAAAAACCAUCCUGGUACCUCAAUUACAGGAUUCCCAGCCUUGCAGGUAAUUAAGGAAAGUCACUUCCUGGCAGAUUCAGGAAACUUAAGAUAUCUUGGGGACCUCUGGUAGAGAAGAAUUCACCCAAAUCUAUAGAUACUGCAAGCAAAGUCUGGGUGAGCUCCUGAAUUGAAGAAUCUUCCUUGAAGAUGUUUCCUUGAAGAAGCUUCAA